rnacentral:rRNA from 1 species
CAGCCGCCGCGGUAAUACGUAGGGUGCAAGCGUUAAUCGGAAUUACUGGGCGUAAAGCGUGCGCAGGCGGUUUUGUAAGACAGGCGUGAAAUCCCCGGGCUCAACCUGGGAAUGGCGCUUGUGACUGCAAAGCUGGAGUGCGGCAGAGGGGGAUGGAAUUCCGCGUGUAGCAGUGAAAUGCGUAGAUAUGCGGAGGAACACCAAUGGCGAAGGCAAUCCCCUGGGCCUGCACUGACGCUCAUGCACGAAAGCGUGGGGAGCAAACAGGAUUAGAUACCCUGGUAGUCCACGCCCUAAACGAUGUCAACUGGUUGUUGGUCCUUAGCUGGAUCAGUAACGAAGCUAACGCGUGAAGUUGACCGCCUGGGGAGUACGGCCGCAAGGUUGAAACUCAAAUGAAUUGACGG